GGGUUAGUAGGUUGGUCAUGCCUCUGGUAUGUACUGGUCUCACUGAUUCCUCCUUCCUGAUGAACCGUAAUGCCAUUAAUUUGGUGUCAUGGGGAAUCAGGACUGUUACUUUGAAAAAAUUAGAGUGUUUAAAGCAGGCUCGCGCUUGAAUACAUUAGCAUGGAAUAAUGAAAUAGGACGUUUGAUUCUAUUUUGUUGGUUUCUAGGAUCGACGUA
rnacentral:rRNA from 1 species